rnacentral:rRNA from 1 species
GAGCUGCUUUAUUAAUGAUUCUUUUUAGAUCUUUCUUUUUUGCUUCCGGCAUUUUAGGAGAUCUUGUUACUUUGAGUAAAUUAGAGUGUUCAAAGCAAACAGAUUAUAGCAUCUUUAUGCGUUUGAAUACUACAGCAUGGAAUAACAAAAUUGAACAAGUCAGAAUUUUGUUCUUUUUUCUUAUUUUGGCUUAGUUACGAUUAAUAGGAGUAGCUUGGGGGCAUUUGUAUUCAGAUGUCAGAGGUGAAAUUCUUAGAUUUUCUGGAGACAAACAACUGCGAAAGCAUUUGCCUAAAAUACUUCCAUUAAUCAAGAACGAAAGUUAAGGGAGUGAAGACGAUCAGAUACCGUCGUAAUCUUAACCAUAAACUAUGCCGACUAGGCUUUGGAUGAAAGAUUUUAAAAUAAGAGUUUUUUCUCUGAGGAGUUAAAAUCUAAAAAUUGC